rnacentral:rRNA from 1 species
UACGUAGGGUGCAAGCGUUGUCCGGAAUUAUUGGGCGUAAAGAGCUCGUAGGCGGUCUGUUGCGUCGGCUGUGAAAACCCGGGGCUCAACUCCGGGCCUGCAGCCGAUACGGGCAGACUAGAGUUCGGCAGGGGAGACUGGAAUUCCUGGUGUAGCGGUGAAAUGCGCAGAUAUCAGGAGGAACACCGGUGGCGAAGGCGGGUCUCUGGGCCGAUACU